GUACGGAGGGGGCUAGCGUUGUUCGGAAUUACUGGGCGUAAAGCGCACGUAGGCGGCUUUGUAAGUUAGAGGUGAAAGCCCGGGGCUCAACCCCGGAAUUGCCUUUAAGACUGCAUCGCUAGAAUUGUGGAGAGGUAAGUGGAAUUCCGAGUGUAGAGGUGAAAUUCGUAGAUAUUCGGAAGAACACCAAUGGCGAAGGCGACUUACUGGACACAUAUUGACGCUGAGGUGCGAAAAGCGUGGGGGAGCGAACAGG
rnacentral:rRNA from 1 species